rnacentral:rRNA from 1 species
UGAACGCUGGCGGCGUGCCUAAUACAUGCAAGUCGCGCGAACAGACGCGGAGCUUGCUCCUCUGACGUUAGCGGCGGACGGGUGAGUAACACGUGGAUAACCUACCUAUAAGACUGGGAUAACUUCGGGAAACCGGAGCUAAUACCGGAUAAUAUAUUGAACCGCAUGGUUCGAUAGUGAAAGACGGUUUUGCUGUCACUUAUAGAUGGAUCCGCGCCGCAUUAGCUAGUUGGUAAGGUAACGGCUUACCAAGGCAACGAUGCGUAGCCGACCUGAGAGGGUGAUCGGCCACACUGGAACGUAGACACGGUCCAGACUCCUACGGGAGGCAGCAGUAGGGAAUCUUCCGCAAUGGGCGAAAGCCUGACGGAGCAACGCCGCGUGAGUGAUGAAGGUCUUCGGAUCGUAAAACUCUGUUAUUAGGGAAGAACAAAUGUGUAAGUAACUAUGCACGUCUUGACGGUACCUAAUCAGAAAGCCACGGCUAACUACGUG